rnacentral:misc_RNA from 1 species
CCUUUAUGAACAUUGCUACUACAUCAGCACUAAACUGUCAAACUUACAAGAGACUGGGUGAGCUUCAACUUCAUUUAAUCUUCUUCUUUCUCCCUUAUUUUUAUUAUUUAUUUAUAUCUUUACGAAGGGAGGGCGCAAUAGCUCAAAGCAUAGCAUAUAAUAGAAAGCAUAGAGGGUAGUUUUGCAGCUAAUAGUUGCUCCAUUGUUAGUUCAUUGGUUCAAACUGGAAUAGUAGUCUGCUCUUGGUUGUCUAUCUUAUCAGGCCUUUCUUGCUUCUUUUCCUCAUCCACCUUAAUUUCUUCUUUCUCCAAAAUUCUGUUGUUGCAUUGGAUGAUCUUUGUCGCCCAUGCACGUAGCUUCCCAGUGGAUUCCUCAUCAAGUCUUGGGACAGUGUG